rnacentral:rRNA from 1 species
CAGCCGCCACGGUAAUACGUAGGUCCCGAGCGUUGUCCGGAUUUAUUGGGCGUAAAGCAAGCGCAGGCGGUUAGAUAAGUCUGAAGUUAAAGGCUGUGGCUUAACCAUAGUACGCUUUGGAAACUGUUUAACUUGAGUGCAAGAGGGGAGAGUGGAAUUCCAUGUGUAGCGGUGAAAUGCGUAGAUAUAUGGAGGAACACCGGUGGCGAAAGCGGCUCUCUGGUCUGUAACUGACGCUGAGGAGCGAAAGCGUGGGGAGCGAACAGGAUUAGAUACCCGUGUAGUCCCUGUCUCUUAUACC